CAAAUCCUCUCACAGUACAAGGUCAUCUCUAGUGCCUGCAAAGCCAAAGAGGUCAGCUUAUGUAAUACAGGAAAACAGGGCUUUAGACCUAAGAAGAAUCUGCCCAUGACUCUUGAAAUGCCACAAGGAAAACAGAACACCCUAAAAGGGGUGAGAAGACUGUGGCAUUGAAGAGGAUACAGCACUGUUAAGUGAUCCUAAAAAUCUAUGCAUAACAGACUAAUGAUCCCUGGUAAUUUGUGCAACUUUAUAAAAAUGCUCAGGAUCCAGGAGAGAAAACCAGCAAGAAAAACAGGGCAGAUCUCAGAUACGGAAGGGCAAAGAAUACUGCCAGGAACUAGGUUCUUUUGAAGACCCUGAAAAACAUACAACCACAAAUAUCAGCUAACCACUAAGAGACUGAAUCAGAAGGAUUGGAGACCAUUGGGGAAGUUUUUCCACUUUGUUGAAUCCUUUUAAAUAUAUCUUCUCAUUUCUAAGGCAUCAAUUUCUUCUGUCCUAGAAUUAUGUUUUCAUCAUUGGUUGCUUGUA